AGUUUGAUCCUGGCUCAGGAUGAACGCUAGCUACAGGCUUAACACAUGCAAGUCGAGGGGCAGCAUCAUCAAAGCUUGCUUUGAUGGAUGGCGACCGGCGCACGGGUGAGUAACACGUAUCCAACCUGCCGACAACACUGGGAUAGCCUUUCGAAAGAAAGAUUAAUACCGGAUGGCAUAGUUUUCCCGCAUGGGAUGAUUAUUAAAGAAUUUCGGUUGUCGAUGGGGAUGCGUUCCAUUAGGCAGUUGGCGGGGUAACGGCCCACCAAACCUACGAUGGAUAGGGGUUCUGAGAGGAAGGUCCCCCACAUUGGAACUGAGACACGGUCCAAACUCCUACGGGAGGCAGCAGUGAGGAAUAUUGGUCAAUGGACGAGAGUCUGAACCAGCCAAGUAGCGUGAAGGAUGACUGCCCUAUGGGUUGUAAACUUCUUUUAUACGGGAAUAAAGUGAGCCACGUGUGGCUUUUUGUAUGUACCGUAUGAAUAAGGAUCGGCUAACUCCGUGCCAGCAGCCGCGGUAAUACGGAGGAUCCGAGCGUUAUCCGGAUUUAUUGGGUUUAAAGGGAGCGUAGGCGGGUUGUUAAGUCAGUUGUGAAAGUUUGCGGCUCAACCGUAAAAUUGCAGUUGAUACUGGCGACCUUGAGUGCAACAGAGGUAGGCGGAAUUCGUGGUGUAGCGGUGAAAUGCUUAGAUAUCACGAAGAACUCCGAUUGCGAAGGCAGCUUACUGGAUUGUAACUGACGCUGAUGCUCGAAAGUGUGGGUAUCAAACAGGAUUAGAUACCCUGGUAGUCCACACAGUAAACGAUGAAUACUCGCUGUUGGCGAUAUACAGUCAGCGGCCAAGCGAAAGCAUUAAGUAUUCCACCUGGGGAGUACGCCGGCAACGGUGAAACUCAAAGGAAUUGACGGGGGCCCGCACAAGCGGAGGAACAUGUGGUUUAAUUCGAUGAUACGCGAGGAACCUUACCCGGGCUUAAAUUGCAACUGACGGAACCGGAAACGGUUCUUUCUUCGGACAGUUGUGAAGGUGCUGCAUGGUUGUCGUCAGCUCGUGCCGUGAGGUGUCGGCUUAAGUGCCAUAACGAGCGCAACCCUUACGGGUAGUUACCAUCAGGUUAUGCUGGGGACUCUACCCG
rnacentral:rRNA from 1 species